AGAACUCCGCAGUUAAGCGUGC
rnacentral:snRNA from 1 species